AAAAAAUUACCUGGGCGUGGUGGCAGGUUUUAUUUUUUUUCCUCAAAAAUAAAUAAAUAAAUAAAAUAAACUUUGUCUCUUAUGGACUGCCUUUUCUGGAUAUUUCAUAUAAUUGGACUCAUACAGUAUAUAUCUCUUGUUACUGGCUCCUUUAACUUAGCAUAACAUUUUCAUGGUUAAUCUAUGUGAUAGUAUAUAUCAAUACUUUUAUUUUAAUUUUUUUAAAGGGGCUUUCCAGUGAAGACCAGAAAACCUGCUAAACAAAUUCUUUUUUUUUUUUUUUUUUUUUUUUUGAGAUGGAGUCUCACUCUGUCACCCAGGCUGAAGUGCAGUGGCACGAUCUUGGCUCACUGCAACCUCUGCCCACCGAGUUCAAAUGAUUCUCCUGCCUCAGCCUCCUGAGUAGUUGGGAUUACAGGCACCUGCCACUGCACCCGGCUAAUUUUUUGUAUUUUUAGUGGAGAUGGGGUUUCACCAUCUUGGCCAGGGUGGUCUUGAACUCCUGACCUCGUGAUCAACCCGCCUCGGCCUCCCAAAGUGCUGGGAUUACAGGCGUGAGCCACCGCGCCUGGCCCUGCUAGACAAAUUCUAAAAGAACUGUAGCACUAAUACUUCUUUUUCGGUUGCCAAAUAAUAUUCUUUUAUAUGGAUAUACCACAUUUUAUUUAUCCAUUCAUCAGUUGAUGGAUACUUGUUUCUACUUUUGGCUAUUACGACUAAUGCUGCUAUGAACAUUUAUGUACAAGUUUUUGCGUGGAUAUAUAUUUUUAUUUUCUUGGGUAUAUUUUGGGGGGUAGAAUUUCUGGAUCAUUUGGUAACUCUUUGUCUAAGUUUGUUUGCUUGUUUAUCUGUUUUUUAAGACAGGGUCUUGCUCUGUUUCCCAGGCUGGAGUGCAGUGGUGCAAGCUCGGCUCACUGCAAACUCCACCUCCCAGGUUCAAGCAAUUCUCCUGCUUCAGCCUCCCAAGUAGCUGGGACUACAGGCGUGUGCCACAACACCCAGCUAAUUUUUGUAUUUUUAGUAGAAACAGGGUUUCACCGUGUUUGCCAGGAUGGUCUUGAACUCCUGACCUCAAGUGAUCCACCUGCCUCAGCCUCCCAAAGUGCUGAUAUUACAGGCGUGAGCCACUGCACCUGGCCCCCCCACCUUUUUUUUUUUUUUUUUUAAGAAAUGGGGUCCCAUAAUGUUAACCAGGCUGGUUCCAACUCCUGGGCUCAAGUGAUCCUCCCACCUCAGUCUCACAGUGCUGGGAUUAUAGGCAUGUGCCACUGUGCCUAUCCUGUAUGUCUAACUUUUUGAGGAACUGUCAAACUUUUUUCCAAAGUGGCUGCACCAUUUUACAUUCCCGCCAGCAGUCUAUUAGGGGUUCCUAUUUCUCCACAUCCUCAUCACCACUUGUUAUCAUCUGCCUUUUUUUUUUUUUUUUUUUUUUGAGUAUCUUUUUGGACAGAGUCUCCCUCUGUCCCCCAGGCUGGAGUGCAGUGGCACAUUCUCGGCACGCUGCAACCUCCACCUCCAGGGUUCAAGCAAUUAUCCUGCCUCAGCCUCCAGAAUAGCUGGAGUUAUAGGCGCAUGUCACUAUAGCCGGCUAAUUUUUAUUUUUUUAUUUUCAUUUUUUUGAGAUGGAGUCUCACUCUGUCACCCAGGCUGGAGUGCAAUGGCACGAUCUCGGCUCACUGCAACAUCCACCUCUUGGGUUCAAGCAAUUCUCCUGCCUCAGCCUCCCAAGUAGCUGGGAUUACAGGCACACACCAUCAUGCCCAGCUAAUUUUUAUAUUUUUAGUAGAGACGGGGUUUCACCAUGUUAGUCAGGCUGGUCUCGAACUCCUGACCUCGGGAUUCGCCCUCCUCUGCUUCCCAAAGUGCUGGGAUUACAGACAUGAGCCACCGCAUCCGGCCUAAUUUUUAUAUUUUUAGUAGAGAUGGGGUUUCACCGUGUUGGCCAGACUGCUCUCGAACUCCUGGCUUCAAGUGAUUUGCCUGCCUUGGCCUCCCAAAGUGCUGGGAUUACAGGUAUGAGCCACCACGCCCAACUCUGUCUUUUUUAUUAUAGCCAUCCUAGUGAGCAUAAAGUGGUAUCUCAUUUUGGUUUUACUUUGUAUUUUUAUUUUAUUAUGCUUAUAGUUUCUGUAGGUCAGAAAUUCAAAGGCAAUACAGUGGAGACGGCUCCAUAAUGUCUGAAGCCUCAUCUGGAAAGACUCAUAAGUUGGAGAUGAUUCAACAUCUGGGGGUUGAAGUCAUCUGAAAGUGUCUUCACUUCUGUGCUUGGUGAGUUUUCCCGCUAAUCAGCUUUCCCCUCAGCUGAGCAGCUUUCUGGAACAACCACACGUAUUUUCUCCAUGCGGUCUCACCGUGUGGUGUAGUUUGGGCUUCCUCACAGCAUGGCUGCUGGGUUCCAAGAGCAAGCGUUCCAAGAGAAUCACGGAGAAGCUGUACUGACUUUUUUUCAGCCAUUGAUUUAUUUUUAUUUGCAGUUUGUAUUCAAUACAAAUCAAUUUCAUAACAAGUUACUAUGAAUCAAAGCAUACACACACAAAUAUACAAUCCAAAAUAGAUGUACAGCAUUUCGGCAUGGAGCAAAAGGGAGUGUUCAUUCACACACACAGUGGAGUGGGUUCAGAUCUGUUCCAUCUGCUGUUCCCGUGUAGGUUUCUAAAGAUGGAAAAAAAAAGACUACUGUGGCCAUAUUAGAUGCUGGAACACAUAAGCAUCAGUGUGUGACCUUGUGAACAAAGGACUUCAGGGAGUGUCUAUUUUUAAAAAGGUUUCUGUGUGUCAAGACAGUUGUAAACAUUUUUAUUACAGAAUCAAGCUUACUUUGCGGUUUAGGACCAGGUUCUAACUAUCUAAAAAUAUUGACAUAACAAAAUGUGUUUCAAACAGGGCAUGAUGGCUCAUGUCUGUAAUCCCAGCACGUUAGGAGAUGAGGUAAGAGGAUUGCUUGAGCCUAGGAGUUCAAGAACAGCUUGGGAACAUAGAAAGACUCCUAUUUCUACAAAAAGAUAAAAAUUCGCUGGGAAUGGUGGCACACGCAUGUAGUGCUAGCUACUUGGGAGGCUGAGGCAGGAGGAUUGCUUUAGUCCACGAGGUUGAGGCCGCAGUGAACUCUAGCCUGGGUAACAGGGUGAGACCAUGUCUCUUAAAAAAAAAGGCCCCAGCUGGGUGCGGUGGCUCACGCCUGUAAUCCCAGCACUUUGGGAGGCUGAGGUGGGCAGAUCACGAGGUCAGGAGUUCAAGACCAUCCUGGCCAACAUGGUGAAAUGCCGUCUCUACAAAAAAUACAAAAAUUAGCGAGGUGUGGUGUUGUGCACCUGUAAUCCUAGCUACUCGGGAGGCUGAGGCAGGAGAAUCACUUGAACCUGGGAGGCGGAGGUUGCAGUGAGCCAAGAUCGCUCCAUUGCACUCCAGCCUGGGCGACAGAGUAAGACUCUGUCUCAAAAAAAAAAAAGCCCCAAAAU
rnacentral:lncRNA from 10 species